rnacentral:rRNA from 1 species
AUGAAGAAGAAUCUGAAGUUGCCUCAAACCAAGCAACAUAUGCCGAGAGCAGAUGCAGAAAUAAAUGUGGACAAGGAAGCUGUGGCGCAAACUGUUGUGACAACUGUAGUGAUCAGAGAGCCAACCACCACUGAAGAUGUGUCAGCAAUACCCGUUGAGCCUACAACCAUCAUAGGAGUUCAACAGAUCAAGGGGAAGAUUCCUCUGCCAACAGCCCCACCUAAACCAGCUAAGCAGCAAAAGAUUGUCAAGUUUGCCAAGUGCACAAAGGAGGAACAAGGCAGGGAAGGUGUGGGGUCCAGACACGAGACAGAACAACGUGCCACAGCUAACUCUGCAGGACUGCCAAGUUCUGCUAGUUUGGUGCCGACUCAGGAUGCAAAGGUGCCUGAUGUCUACUACACAACCUUCUUCUUGUAG